UACGAAGGGGGCAAGCGUUGUUCGGAAUCACUGGGCGUAAAGCGUGCGCAGGCGGGUCAUUAAGUCAGAGGUGAAAUCCCAGGGCUCAACCUUGGAAUUGCCUUUGAUACUGGUGGCCUAGAGUUCGUGAGAGGGGUGUGGAAUUCCUAGUGUAGCGGUGAAAUGCGUAGAUAUUAGGAGGAACACCAGUGGCGAAGGCGACACCCUGGCGCGAUACUGACGCUCAUGCACGAAAGCGUGGGGAGCAAACAGG
rnacentral:rRNA from 1 species